UACGGAGGAUCCAAGCGUUAUCCGGAUUCAUUGGGUUUAAAGGGUGCGUAGGCGGAAUGAUAAGUCAGUGGUGAAAUCCUUCAGCUUAACUGGAGAACUGCCAUUGAUACUGUCAAUCUUGAGUACAUUUGAUGUGGGCGGAAUGUGUCAUGUAGCGGUGAAAUGCUUAGAUAUGACACAGAACACCGAUUGCGAAGGCAGCUCACAAAACUGUAACUGACGCUGAGGCACGAAAGCGUGGGGAGCAAACAGG
rnacentral:rRNA from 1 species